UCGGGGACUGCUGUGUGGUGCCUCUCAGGCAUCCUGUGUUGUUGUGAUUUAUGAAGGAGGUCAUCAUCAUAAACAGAGAUUUCCCCUAUUUAUCUAGAAGGGAGAGGCCAGGAGGACUUUGAACCAUGCUGAACAGGUACAGUACGGGUCGUAAUCACUUCGGGUAGAUAAAUGCCCGAGAUGGAACCCCCCCCCCUGCUUUGAGUCUCCCUUUUGCCUGAUCUCCAAUCAACCUCCCAGACCAGCCUUAAAGACGACGGCCAUCUCUCACCUACACCCCUCUCAUACACACACAUACAUACUGUCUCAAUAUACCAUACAAAUUCACAUGAAAUGUUUAAACGUUA